GAUGAACGCUGGCGGCGUGCUUAACACAUGCAAGUCGAACGAUGAAGCCCAGCUUGCUGGGUGGAUUAGUGGCGAACGGGUGAGUAACACGUGAGUAACCUGCCCUUAACUCUGGGAUAAGCCUGGGAAACUGGGUCUAAUACCGGAUAGGAGCGUCCACCGCAUGGUGGGUGUUGGAAAGAUUUAUCGGUUUUGGAUGGACUCGCGGCCUAUCAGCUUGUUGGUGAGGUAAUGGCUCACCAAGGCGACGACGGGUAGCCGGCCUGAGAGGGUGACCGGCCAAACUGGGAAUGAGACGCAGCAGAGACGCCUACGGGAGGCAGCGGGGGGGAAUAUUGCACAAUGGGCGCAAGCCUGAUGCAGCGACGCCGCGUGAGGGAUGACGGCCUUCGGGUUGUAAACCUCUUUCAGUAGGGAAGAAGCGAAAGUGACGGUACCUGCAGAAGAAGCACCGGCUAACUACG
rnacentral:rRNA from 1 species